CCUACGGGCGGCAGCAGUGGGGAAUAUUGGACAAUGGGCGAAAGCCUGAUCCAGCCAUGCCGCGUGUGUGAAGAAGGCCUUCGGGUUGUAAAGCACUUUCAGUGGGGAAGAAAGCCUUGGGGCUAAUACCCUCGAGGAAGGACAUCACCCACAGAAGAAGCACCGGCUAACUCCGUGCCAGCAGCCGCGGUAAUACGGAGGGUGCGAGCGUUAAUCGGAAUUACUGGGCGUAAAGCGCGCGUAGGCGGUCUGAUAAGCCGGUUGUGAAAGCCCCGGGCUCAACCUGGGAACGGCAUCCGGAACUGUCAGGCUAGAGUGUAGGAGAGGAAGGUAGAAUUCCCGGUGUAGCGGUGAAAUGCGUAGGGAUCGGGAGGAAUACCAGUGGCGAAGGCGGCCUUCUGGACUGACACUGACGCUGAGGUGCGAAAGCGUGGGUAGCAAACAGGAUUAGAUACCCGAGUAGUC
rnacentral:rRNA from 1 species